rnacentral:rRNA from 1 species
GAUGAACGCUGGCGGCGUGCCUAAUACAUGCAAGUCGAGCGAACAGACGAGGAGCUUGCUCCUCUGACGUUAGCGGCGGACGGGUGAGUAACACGUGGAUAACCUACCUAUAAGACUGGGAUAACUUCGGGAAACCGGAGCUAAUACCGGAUAAUAUAUUGAACCGCAUGGUUCAAUAGUGAAAGACGGUUUUGCUGUCACUUAUAGAUGGAUCCGCGCCGCAUUAGCUAGUUGGUAAGGUAACGGCUUACCAAGGCAACGAUGCGUAGCCGACCUGAGAGGGUGAUCGGUCACACUGGAACUGAGACACGGUCCAGACUCCUACGGGAGGCAGCAGUAGGGAAUCUUCCGCAAUGGGCGAAAGCCUGACGGAGCAACGCCGCGUGAGUGAUGAAGGUCUUCGGAUCGUAAAACUCUGUUAUUAGGGAAGAACAAGUGUGUAAGUAACUAUGCACGUCUUGACGGUACCUAAUCAGAAAGCCACGGCUAACUACGUG